ensembl:lncRNA
GUCCAAGCUACUUCCUGUUUUUUGUCUGCCUUCUCACUUGUGUGAUUGUCUGCUGAGCCCUAAUCUGCUUCAUCUAUGUGUGACUUUCCUCCCCUCCUCGCGUUCAUAUAUGCAUUCUUUUCCUCGUGUUCUUUGCCAGUUUGUCUUGUGCCAUCUUGCCAGCAUCGCAGCCUGUUUCUGGGUGUGAUCUUCCAAGUGUCACAUGUGUGCAAGUGCAAAAGUCUUCAGUGAAGAGCUGGGUCUUUAGUCUUUUCUUAAAGACUGAGAGGGAUUCUGCAGAUUGAACAGAGCGUGGUAACUCGUUCCACCACCGGGGAACCACAGAGGAGAAGAGUCUAGUUAUCAAACUUGGGUCCUGUUGUGGUGGUUGUAUCAGGAACCUUUUGUUCGUGAAGUGGAAGGGGGUGUAGACCUGAAUGAGAGAGUUCAGGUAGGAGGGAGCUGUUUUCAUUGUAGUUUUGAAUGCACAUGUCAGAGUUUUGAAUUUGAUGUGUGCAGCAACUGGAAGCCAGUGAAGCGAUCUGAACAGCGGGGUGAUGUGCUGUUUUUGACCAGUUGAACACCAGAUGUCCUGCUUCAUUCUAGAUCAUCUGCAGAGAGUCCUUCAGCUGUAAAACAGUGGUGGGACUGCAGGUUACACUUCUCUAGG